rnacentral:rRNA from 1 species
AGAGUUUGAUCCUGGCUCAGGAUGAACGCUGGCGGUCUGCUUAACACAUGCAAGUCGAACGGAAUCUUUCGGGAUUUAGUGGCGGACGGGUGAGUAACGCGUGAGAAUCUGCCUUCAGGUUCGGGACAACAGUUGGAAACGGCUGCUAAUACCGGAUGUGCCGAGAGGUGAAAGCUUAAGUGCCUGGAGAUGAGCUCGCGUCUGAUUAGCUAGUAGGAGUGGUAACGGCACCCCUAGGCGACGAUCAGUAGCUGGUCUGAGAGGAUGAUCAGCCACACUGGGACUGAGACACGGCCCAGACUCCUACGGGAGGCAGCAGUGGGGAAUUUUCCGCAAUGGGCGCAAGCCUGACGGAGCAAGACCGCGUGAGGGAAGAAGGUCUGUGGAUUGUAAACCUCUUUUGAUCGGGAAGAAGACAGUGACGGUACCGAUCGAAUCAGCUCGAUCGUC